ACAGUAAGCCCCGGUCUUCACCCGGGACUACACCUCUUACCACAAAAAAAGUUCUCGGGCUGUAUUUUCCGGUCAGUGGACUUUUUUUGAAGUGUAAUGCGUCCACCCAUUGUGAAACUUAACCUAUGCUUCGGCAGCACUCUUAGCAUUAAAACCGCUAGAGGGGUAAGGCUGUCAGAAGCCCACUAUCAAACUAGUUUAUGAAAUGUCAUGCAGUCUGAUAACUACUAUUUGAGAAAUCAAAUUACAUUA
rnacentral:misc_RNA from 1 species